AAGAGCCCACUGCGGUAACGCCGCACGGUGGGAUCUGUGGGGGCGAAAGCCAGCAAUGGCUGAGCUACCCGAC
rnacentral:misc_RNA from 1 species